AUUGUGGUGCAAUGGGUCAGUGUGUGUGGCUGUUAACCAGAAGGUUGGUUGUUCAAGCCCACCUAGGAAUG